rnacentral:tRNA from 1 species
GGGCGUAUGGUGUAGUUGGUUUAUCACGCCCGCUUUGCAUGCGGGAGGUGUUGGGUUCAAUUCCCAAUGCGUCCA